UACAGAGGGGGCAAGCGUUAUUCGGAAUUAUUGGGCGUAAAGGGCGCGUAGGCGGCGAUUCAAGUGACGGGUGAAAUCCCUCGGCUUAACCGAGGAACUGCCUGUCAGACUGGGUUGCUUGAGACCGGGAGAGGCGAGUGGAAUUCCCAGUGUAGCGGUGAAAUGCGUAGAUAUUGGGAGGAACACCAGUGGCGAAGGCGGCUCGCUGGACCGGAACUGACGCUGAGGCGCGAAAGCGUGGGGAUCAAACAGG
rnacentral:rRNA from 1 species